UUAAUUAAGCUUAUAGCCUUGUCACCUUCUGCUCUGAUCCCAUCAGAUCUCAGCAGCUAAGCGAGGUCAGGCUGGGGGUGUCAGUGAAUUACUCUCUAGUGGUGGCAUGUCCUAUUUAGC
ensembl:rRNA 5S_rRNA 5S ribosomal RNA